rnacentral:rRNA from 1 species
AUUGAACGCUGGCGGCAUGCCUUACACAUGCAAGUCGAACGGUAACGCGGGGCAACCUGGCGACGAGUGGCGGACGGGUGAGGAAUACGUCGGAAUCUGCCCAGUCGUGGGGGAUAACUAGCCGAAAGGUUAGCUAAUACCGCAUACGACCGAGAGGUGAAAGCGGGGGACCGCAAGGCCUCGCGCGAUUGGAUGAGCCGACGUCGGAUUAGCUAGUUGGCGGGGUAAAGGCCCACCAAGGCGACGAUCCGUAGCUGGUCUGAGAGGAUGAUCAGCCACACUGGAACUGAGACACGGUCCAGACUCCUACGGGAGGCAGCAGUGGGGAAUAUUGGACAAUGGGCGCAAGCCUGAUCCAGCAAUGCCGCGUGUGUGAAGAAGGCCUCG